UACGUAGGGGGCUAGCGUUGUCCGGAAUCAUUGGGCGUAAAGGGUGCGUAGGCGGGUCUUUAAGUCAGGGGUGAAAUCCUGGAGCUCAACUCCAGAACUGCCUUUGAUACUGAGGAUCUUGAGUUCGGGAGAGGUGAGUGGAACUGCGAGUGUAGAGGUGAAAUUCGUAGAUAUUCGCAAGAACACCAGUGGCGAAGGCGGCUCACUGGCCCGAUACUGACGCUGAGGCACGAAAGCGUGGGGAGCAAACAGGG
rnacentral:rRNA from 1 species